CCACUGCUAUCGGGAUAGGACUAAGACAUGCUAGUCGAGUGCUUCAGCACGAGGCACGGCGAACAGCUCAGUAGCACGUGGCUAAUCUGCCCUUAGGACGAGAAUACCCCCGGGAAACUGGGGAUAAUUCGCGAUAGGCGAAGAACACUGGAAUGUGUCUUCACCUAAAAGACCCUGCGUAUUGCUCGUAGAAGUCGCCUAAGGACGAGGCCGCGGCCGAUCAGGUUGUUGGUGAGGUAAUGGCUCACCAAGCCUUUUACCGGUGCGGGCCGUGGGAGCGGGAGCCCGGAGAUGGGUACUGAGACAAGGACCCAGGCCCUACGGGGCGCAGCAGUCGCGAAACCUUUGCAAUACACGAAAGUGUGACAGGGCUAUCCCGAGUGCCAUCCGCUGAGGAAGGCUUUUACCCAGUUUAGAAAGCCGGGAGAAUAAGGAGAGGGCAAGUCUGGUGUCAGCCGCCGCGGUAAUACCAGCUCUUCGAGUGGUGUGGAUGUUUAUUGGGCCUAAAGCAUCCGUAGCUGGCUAGGUUAGUCCCUUGUUAAAUCCACCAAAUUAAUCGUUGGAUCGCGGGGGAUACUGCUUGGCUAGGGGACGAGAGAGGCAGACGGUAUUUUUGGGGUAGGGGUGAAAUCCUAUAAUCCCAGGAAGACCACCAGUGGCGAAGGCUGUCUGCUAGAACGCGCCCGACGGUGAGGGAUGAAAGCUGGGGGAGCGAACCGGAUUAGAUACCCGGGUAGUCCCAGCUGUAAACGAUGCGGGCUAGGUGUUGGGAUGGCUACGUGCCAUUUCAGUGCCGCAGGGAAGCCAUUAAGCCCGCCGCCUGGGGAGUACGGCCGCAAGGCUGAAACUUAAAGGAAUUGGCGGGGGAGCACCACAAGGCGUGAAGCUUGCGGUUCAAUUGGAGUCAACGCCGGGAACCUUACCGGGGGCGACAGCAGAAUGAUGACCAGAUUGAAGGUCUUGUUUGACAAGCUGAGAGGAGGUGCAUGGCCGUCGCCAGUUCGUGCCGUGAGGUGUCCUGUUAAGUCAGGCAACGAUCGAGACCCACGCCUUUAGUUGCUACCGAGGAAAUUUUCCGAGGGGCACUCUAGAGGGACUGCCGUCGACAAGACGGAGGAAGGAGUGGGCUACGGCAGGUCAGUAUGCCCCGAAUCCCCCGGGCUACACGCGAGCUGCAAUGGCAGAGACAAUGGGUUCCGACCCUGAAAAGGGAAGGCAAUCUCGAAACUCUGCCUCAGUUUGGAUCGAAGGCUGGAACCCGCCUUCGUGAAAAUGGAAUGCCUAGUAAUCGCGCGUCAUCAACGCGCGGUGAAUACGUCCCCGCUCCUUGCACACACCGCCCGUCGCUCCAUCCGAGUGGGGUUUGGGUGAGGCGUGGUCUUAUUGGCUGCGUCGAAUCUGAGUUCCGCAAGGAGGGAG
rnacentral:rRNA from 1 species